rnacentral:rRNA from 1 species
GACGAACUGCCCAAACGUUGUUCGGAAUCACUGGGCGUAAAGCGCACGUAGUCGGCUUUGCAAGUCGUUUGUGAAAUCCCCGGGCUCAACCUGGGAACUGCAUCCGAGACUGCAUUGCUAGAGUAUGGGAGAGGAAAGCGGAAUUUCUGGUGUAGCAGUGAAAUGCGUAGAUAUCAGAAGGAACAUCAGUGGCGAAGGCGGCUUUCUGGACCAAUACUGACGAUCAGGUGCGAAAGCGUGGGGAGCAAACAGG